rnacentral:tRNA from 1 species
GCCUGGCUAGCUCAGUUGGUAGACCAUGAGACUCUUAAUCUCAGGGUUGUGAGUUCAAGCCUCAUUUUGGGCA